rnacentral:lncRNA from 1 species
UAUUUGAAACUAUUAAAAAUAGGUCCCAAAAGAAAGCCAAAGUCUAAAACAAAGCCAUCUUUCCACAGGAACUUUACCUGUGCCUCUCUCCUUUAACAAAGCUCUCAGCUUCCUAGAGUCCUGCUUUCAAGUUGCAAGGUGUAUUUCACAUUAGGCUACUUUGUCUUCAGAGAGGAUGUCACAGUGAAUCCACACAUCAGACCUUCUCUUUAUGCUUUUGAAAUAUGGCAGUGCAUACCAUCUCCUCCUCAAUUGCUGCAGAAGAUGUUGAUAGAUAUUUAUCACAUCUUGAGAUACAUGCUUGCUGUACCCAAGGUAACUUGGAGGUCAAUUCCACUUAAUUCUACAGUACAGCAGAAAGUGCAGCGAACUAAGCUUUGAAUGUCAACCUCACUUUUAGAGAGUAGGUAUGCAACUUUGAGCAAUGCUUGGCUUCCUAGACCAGUAAUUUUCCUACUUUGGCUCCCAGAAUUUAAGUAUUAAAAAUGUAUGACUACUGUGUUCAUUAGGUCAUGUGUACCUGUAUGAGGAUGGGCACCUGUGUGCUGCCGUGUACAUGUGAAGGUCCAAGAACAACUUUUAGGAGCCAGUUCUCUACGUCCACUGUGGAUUCCAAGAAGAACUGAGCACAGGUCAUCUGGUUUACUCCACUAGUGCUUUCAUUUGAUUAAAUAUCUCAUAGAUAUCCUCACAAGAUCUUUAAUCAUCU